rnacentral:rRNA from 1 species
AUACGUAGGUGGCGAGCGUUGUCCGGAUUUACUGGGUGUAAAGGGCGCGUAGGCGGGGGAGCAAGUCAGAUGUGAAAUCCAUGGGCUUAGCCCAUGAACUGCAUUUGAAACUGUUUCUCUUGAGUGUCGGAGAGGUAGAUGGAAUUCCUAGUGUAGCGGUGAAAUGCGUAGAUAUUAGGAGGAACGCCAGUGGCGAAGGCGAUCUACUGAACGAUAGCUAACGCUGAGGCGCGAAAGCGUGGGGAGCAAACAGGAUUAGAUCCCCUGGUAGUCCACGCCGUAAACGAUGAAUACUAGGUGUGGGGGGACUGACCCCCUCCGUGCCGCAGUUAACACAAUAAGUAUUCCACCUGGGGAGUACGGCCGCAAGGUUGAAACCCAAAUGAAUUGACGGGG